UUUACGCCUCGACCCUUCCUAAAAAUCUCCAGAAUUAGACACCUUCUCUGCUAUCUGCCCUGGUUUAGUUUGGAGAAGAAUUAAGCGACUUAAAUCGGCCCCAAGCUUGGACCGCCUAGAUAAGGAAGCGGAUCACAAAAAACAAAUUGGAUCCCAUCCAGAAUAGCACACUGCAUGUGGUCAUCAUGUCUCAUUAGGCUCCUCUGUGCUGUGACAGCUUUUCAAACUUUUCUCAUUUCUGAUGACCUUGGUGUUUUAAGGAAUAUUGCUCAGAUUUUAUAAAAUUUUCCUCAUUAUGGCUUUGGUCAUUGGGAGGUCAUUCAGGUCAGCUCCUGUUUCCCUUGACAUGCUUCCAUCAUUUUGUUUUUGAACACUCCCUUACUUUCUGGCACUACAAAAUAACCCAGGCUCAGCGUAUGUAUACCUUGUCCCAGUGGUAGAGUUAGCCAUUUCUUCACGGAAUUCUGAUUCAUUUUAUUGGAACAUGGUAUUAGAAACCAGGAUUUGAGUGCUGGGUUUGAUCAUUGCUGUGGGAGUACCAUUGCUUCUGAGAAGAGCUCAAAGGAUACAGCUGGGAAACAUGUAUGUAUACGAACCCAUGUUUACACACAUAUCUAUAAUCAUUACUGCAUCCAUCUGUAUUUUAAGUUUAACAUGAGUUCAUAUUGAUGUCUCCAACUCUAGUCCAUACCAUACGAUUCAUCCUUUUUCCUCUCCCAAAGUGAAAAAACUGGACCCUAUCAACAGCUACUAUUUAUUUGCUCAAUCCCAGCUUAUACAUAUAGUAGCUUCAGAAUUCUUAAUCUUUACUACCAUCUUCACCACCAAAACAACUUUAUCGACAGUACAAAGUUUACAUGAA